UGAUUUUCUAGCAAAGCAGAAACAUGAGUUUUAUAAUUUAUAUAUAGUUUUUACUCUUUGAAAUGAUGAAACCGCUUGGAUUAUUAACAAGUGUGAAACUCCGAUUCCCAUGGAGAUCAUUCACUAUCGAAAUUGCCUGACAAAUGAUUUUGAGAGGCGAUCCAAUACAUUCAACAUUAAUAAGUAAAAAAAAGGAAGAAUAAAACACCGCACCAUAAAUUAUAAAAAAUAUGUAUAAUCAUCAAGGUCCUGUCACGCCAAAUACGUAAAAGGCAUGCUAGAAAUCAUGACUGCCUUCGAAAAACUGUCAUUUGAGCUGUCAAGUGUGAAAAAGUGGACAUGCCGAACAUACUUAGUUUUUGAUCCUAACGUGUGGUAUUUGUGAAAUCGCGGGAGAAAAAUAUCAUAGUUUAAUCUUUUGAACAAGGAUAUCUUUAAGAGUUUGUACUCAAUUUUAUUGAUAUGCAUGCAAAUAAAUUGCUUAGAUCCCCUGCUACAAA